rnacentral:rRNA from 1 species
AUUGAACGCUGGCGGCAUGCCUUACACAUGCAAGUCGAACGGUAACGCGGGGCAACCUGGCGACGAGUGGCGAACGGGUGAGUAACGCAUCGGAACGUGCCCAGUAGUGGGGGAUAGCCCGGCGAAAGCCGGAUUAAUACCGCAUACGACCUACGGGUGAAAGGGGGGGAUCGCAAGACCUCUCGCUAUUGGAGCGGCCGAUGUCAGAGUAGGUAGUGGGGGGGGUAAAGGCCUACCAAGCCGACGAUAUGUAGCUGGUCUGAGAGGACGACCAGCCACACUGGGACGGAGACACGGCCCAGACUCCUACGGGAGGCAGCAGUGGGGGAUUUUGGACAAUGGGCGAAAGCCUGAUCCAGCCAUGCCGCGUGCGGGAAGAAGGCCUUCGGGUUGUAAACCGCUUUUGUCAGGGAAGAAAUCUUCUGGGUUAAUACCUCGGGAGGAUGACGGUACCUGAAGAAUAAGCACCGGCUAACUACGUGCCAGCCGCCGCGGUAA